CUGCCUGCUGCAUAGCUGCUACUUCUGCUGGUUCUCUUCCUGCUCACACUCCUCCGGAGCAGUUUGGGAGAAGAACGCUAGUUUCUGUGAAAAGCUAAGGACACUGGUCUCUGAGGCGAAGAUGCCAUGUGGAUCCUCAUGUCUGCUUCUGCACACUGUGCACAAUGCACUGCGUCAGGGAUGUGCAGGCCUGGAUCCGAGCCUGGAGGAGGAGCCCGAGCGACAAGAAGAGUUCUCUGCCUUCCAAGCUCCUCCCACCACAAGCCCACCGCAGGGACCCGGGCCCAGGGCUGUGCGCUCAGCAGCGGAGCAGCUGCGUGUCGCUCGGGCCCUGGGCCCAGACCGCAGCCCAGGGAGCUGUGCCUGAGUCCGGAUGCCACACCACUCGCAGCGCUGUGCUUAGCUAUCCAUGCGUUUCUGUUGUGCUGCUGGGGAUUGAGCUUGGAACUGUACCGCAAAAGGGAACUUUAAAAGCUAGAUGCUUUGUUCUUUUAGAGAUAAGCGGCGCCUCCAGAUCUCCCCAAGAGCACAUGGCCGACACCCCGUCCUGUCCUCAGCCCGGGUGAACAGCAGAAGGACCUGGCUCCUCCCGUGCACACACAGCGGGAAGACCCACAACAGAACGGCUCUCAUUUGGAGAAAUGGCGAGCUCCGGCACUUCCCCUGAGGAAGCUAACUGGAACUGUCGCAGCACGGGGCUCCCGCUCUUUGCUUCUCAAUUGAGCCGACUUAUGGGCUGUCAGCGUCCCGAGGAUUUCCAGUGUGGAAGGAAAGGAGCGGAAUUUAACCAAGAAAAUGCUGAUCCGGACCGUGGGUGCCUUCAGCCGGGUCCUGGGAGUUGCAGUCCAUUUUAAAUUCUGAUUUCCUUGUCUCUUUUCCUCCUGUCUUCUAUCUUCUGUCCUCCCUGGGUGAGCCAGAGGGGGUUGCUCUUCCCUUGGUCUCCCUGCCUCUCAGCCCAACCUCCAGCACAUCUGAGUGUGUCUCCUUGAAACAGGUCAUGGGACCUUUCGGGGACUGACUGGAAACCAAAGAAUCCAGAAUCAUUUCCCUGGUAUGCAGAGAACAGAAGAGAACUGGAAAUGUUUUAAAAUUUUGUAAUAAUGUUGGAGAGUGACUGUAAUGAUUAUUCUCCUGAUUCACCCAAAUAUUUAUAUUCCAGUGAAAAAAAUGGAGACUUUCAAGCAUGUGCUCAGGGCUGGGGAUGAAGCUCUGUCAGUGGUAGAGCAUUUGCCCGGCGCGUGUGAAACCAUGGGUUCCACUCCCAGGUCCAGUGGAUUAGAUACAAGUGCCCUCAAAGUCCUGAGCGUGGAAGGUGACUGGGAGAAGGACACUGUAAUCAUCAGCGCACACAUCCCUCCGUGAGCCCAGGAGAUGACUGUGCCAGGAAGCGGGCCUGGUUGAAGGUCACUGGGGUGUGACCCGGGAGGGUGAUUCUUGUCCUGGGUUCUCUCUUUUCUCUCUGGUUCCUGGCCGACAUGGGGUGAACUGCUGUCCUCCACCAGGCCCUUCUGCCAUCAUUUUCUGCCCUGGACCACCCAACCAGGGACUGACCAGGGACUAACACCAGGGACUGACACCCUGCAACCUUAAG
ensembl:lncRNA